UUCUAAGAAAGGAAAUUCCGACUAAACAGCAGGGAGAACUUUCUGACAGUACAAGCUGUUCAAUAGUGGAAUGCACUCCCAUGAGAGCCAAUGGACUCCCCUUCCUUGAAAGUUUUAAAGCAUAGGUUGGACAGCCCUGUCAUGUAUGAUCUAGUUGAGAUUCCUGAAUUGCAGGGAGAUGGGCUGGAUUACCCUUUGGAUCCCUUGCAAUUUUAUGCAGAACAAACAUCUAUAUUCCAAUUCACCAUCAUAUCCUCAGCUUUUCUUGGCACAGAAUUUUGAGAGGUGUGAGGAUUUUCCAUCUGCUAUUUCAUAGUGCCAGACUCCCAAUUUAUAAAAUUACACAUGGUGCAUGUUGUAGAUUAUGCUGUGUUAAUAAGUAGAAAGUGGGGCAUGCAGCAAAAUGUAGCAAUAUAAAGAAUGCCAGCCACAUCAUCUUCUAUGAUACUCCCAUUUCAUUCCCACUCCCAGAAGAUACACUCAGCAUUCUCUGGCCACUGAACAUGUUUAGAAUUCAAUGGGCUUGUCCAGAUUCCCUCACUUACAUUUCCCCCCUCUUUAAAGUUACUGGACCUAUGCAAACAACCCUGCUGACACCCCCUUCCUGUGCACGGAUGAUGCCAUUUUGGCUAUAUAAAUACAGGCCUUCAGAGAAUGAGUUCACUAUUAAGAUACAGGAUGCUGAUGUGGUGAUGCAGUUCAGGUGUAUGACAUUGUUCAUGCCUUACCCAGCGCUCAUUGGUCCAUGGGCCCAGAACUUAAGCUAUGAUCAUGUAGAUGUUUCUAACUGGCUCUUCACAAGCCAGUGUUCUCGGUGUCUUGCAAGAUCUUAAUUGAGUCAUGCCCCAAAGAGAAGGUGAAUACUUUUUUAUUAGGUCUCAAUGGGUUUGAGCCAUGAGCUCUCUCUUAGUCUGUUGAUGACUGGUCUGAACUAGACCAGAGAUGUUUUGAAGUGGCCUGGGGAACUGUCUUGGGGACACGAGGUCUAAGAAGGUGAAAAUGUCUGUUUAGCCCCAACUUUCCCACAAGGAGUCUUUUUUAAAAAAAUAUGCAAAGUACACACAGCCCUACCCAAACCAAAUGUAAACAAGCUAGCCUUUAAGAAACAAACUGGAGUAAUUGUGGGGGAAAGGAAAGAUUUGCCUCACCUACCUAGCUGUUGCUAUUAUGUUGGUUGCUAUGUAAACAGUUUUAUUUCUGGCUCACACAGCAUACCAGGUUGUAGGUCAGGGCCAUUUAAUCCUACAUUAUUGGUUUAUGUUUGCUGCAGCCUUCGUCCACUUCAAGUUAGGAUGAAAGCUUCUUCAGCAUUACUCAGGAGCAGCUGUUCUGGCCACCAUAAUGGCAGUUGCUGCUCGAGAUCCAUUGCUGGCAUAAAAGUUUUUUUUGUCAGCACCAGAAAAUAGACAGUAUUCCCUCCCUACCCCUCUCCCUUCCCCAGAGCUGAAAUAGCUGCCACCUGCUAAGGAAUGCUGCUAAGACAAGCCGAUGACAGGCCUGAGAUGGACAUAGGAACGUUGUCCAGCAGGGUGGAGAUUACUAGAAAUCUGACAAAAUCUUUUCUAAUUUUAUGUGGUGGUCAGGAGCAUGGAAUGGAGUGGGGGAGCUGUUCCUGUUCUCUUUUAGCUGUGAACAAAAAAUGACUAAAUUCUUUGACAAUCUUAUUCCUCUUCUGCCAUGUAGAUCUUUCUAACGAAAACAGUUACACAUCAGUGCAGUGAAACAUUACAGUAUUGUUUCAGCAGGGGUAAGGGAGCACAAUAUAGGUAACCAAGCCCCCCUUUAUUAUUUCAGUUGCUAAUGUUGGAUGUUGCACCUUCAUACAACACAGAGUUCAGCCCUGCUGUGUUUUAAUUCUUAAAUCUCUCCAUCUGGUCUUUUAUAUUCAACCUCACAGUACUGGUCCAAACCAUUUUUCUGCCUGUGGUAAAGGACAAGAUGGUGUGUCCCACCAUUCCAUGUUCAGAAGCUAACUGGGCUAGCAGUUGAAUCUUAUUUCGAUUCUCAUAAUGGGGCCAUGUCCUCGAUUAUGACUGAGGUCAGCAGGCUAGUUAUGGGUGUGCAGAACAGGCCAUGUGAUACACAUAGUUCUGCCUUAAAACAGAAGGGUCAGCCAGCAGGCUUCCACCACUGCUCCCCAGCGGCUUCCACCUGAGGCAGUCACCUCAUUCUGCCUAAUGAUAGGAUUUGUCCCAAUCACUAAGAAGCCCCAAAGGCCCAUGCAAUGCCAUAUAGGGUUGGAUAUAGCCUGUCUCUUUUUGCCCCUGCAAAUGUAAUGCUAAUGACCUUACAGGUGGCUAGAACCCCACAGGGGUGAGGGCAGCUGUUGGCAUAGCAAUGCUGUUAGCUGUUCCAGUAAAAUCACCAGGUUACAUGCUUUUGCCUUGUCCUUGAGUCAGAAAUUGAUCUUAAUAUUUGAUUCUGUGAGCUGUUUUGCCAGGGCACUUGCAGCAUUAGUUCUUCUGACCUAGUUUUUUUAAGUACUGUACCACAAAAGGGAUGAAAUAGUAUAUAUACGGGCUGCAUUGUUAAUGCAGCACCAUAAAGCACUAUACUAUGCUGGCUUUGUAGGGACAUUAUGCUGGCAAUGCAGAUAUGCAGACACGUAUAUUCUUCACUUUCCUUAGUAGACUUUAGGAACCUAAAAGUUAUCGGAGAUAAAUUGAUAUUACUUAUUAUUAUUGUGCAGUUCUUUCAAGUGUUUAAAGCACUUCACACACACUAACUACGUGUAAUUCUUCCAGCACCGCUGUAUGGUUUAUUGGUAUUAUUAUCCCCCAUGUUGCAGAUAGGGGAGGGGAGGACUGAAUCUGAAAGGGAACAGGGGUCACCAGUUAUUUUGAGUCACAUAGAAUUAUGAUUUGGAAUUUUGAGUGUUCUUGCUGUCAGUCACAAAAUGACUGCUGUGGGGGGCAUAGCAUAACACAAAAUGGCUGCCACAUCUAAAGGAGCACAAAAUCAGACAGAACCACAAAAUGGUACAGAACUACUCUGGGUUUGGGGGAUCUCAACCCUCUCUCCUCUUUAAUGGAUGUAUAUGGAAGAGAAGCAGGCUGGCUACACUACUGGAUGGACAUGACCAAAUCCAAAGCAGUACCUAUUCCUGCAACUUGGCCUGUUCUUCCUGAGCAGAGGAUGUUCCUCCAGAGUCUUCUUAUCUGGGUUUGUGCCUUGGCAAAAAUGUUCCUGACCUUGCACACAACUUUUUUUUUACUAGCAUCGCUGCUGGAGGCAGACUGACCCUAACCCCAGCCAUGGUCUCAGACGACGACUGCCUUUGCUGAUGCUGAAUGGAGUUUGUCAGAUCGAAAUACUCAAAUAUUAUGCUGUUUUUGGCUUUGAUUACAGUUGCAUAAUGUGUGUGAUGUUUUUCUGUUCCGUGAAACUGCAGAAAUUGGCUCCCUAGGUGGCAGAACACAGGGGUGUUGAUGUACAGUAAACCUGAGAGCCCUGCUAAGUCGGCAUUUGGAUUAGGCUUUUUAGAGAAGUUGCUGAGGCAGAAAGGUUGGAGCCAAGCAUAGCCUGCAUCAGCUGAAGGGGGAAAGGGACGAUAGGCUCUCUGCUCAAACCCUUUUACCCUGAAGCUUGGGGCCAGAGGUGCAGUUAGAUAAUUUUAGAAUCCGGACUUAAUGGCCUUGCAGGGUGGGGGUGCUACUAAGAUGGUAAUGUGCAUUACUGUACUUAAGUACACUUAAUAUUCACUUAGAGUUAAUGAUCUAAAAGGGGCCCCUCUUUAGAUUAUGCUGUGCAUUAUUUCACUUACUUCAAUAUAUAGUAAUAGGGCAUGUCACUCUAGGGAGUAAAACUUAUUUUUUUGCAAAUUUCUUCAGUGAGCAGUCUUAAAAAUACUUUUUUGAGUGUGAAGAACUCAAAUCUGCUAUUACUUUUAUGACUGGACAACAUUUAUCGUGGUAAGUCUACGCCCAAUGAAGAGGCACAUAAACUGCUUUCGGAAAACCAAAUAAUUUUAAUUUUAGCUCCUGAAAAUGUCAGGUAAUAUAAAAUAAAUAUUAAUAUGUAAUAUAACUGCAGGUACUUUGCAACCAGUUUUAAUUAUUUCUGUGCAAUUUUAAACAUAUUUUACUUACCAAGCAAAACUAAAUUAUGUCAAUUUAAACAAAAUAUCUUUGGAAUUCCCAAGUCAGGUUACAACAUCUCAGCGCCCCUCAUGUUUGGAAUCUGAAAGUUGAAAAAUUCAACAUGCCCUAAUAUAGUAAGCCAGCCAAGCUGCAUUGGGGACCCCUGGACUUCUGUCCCAUAGUCCUGUCCUGACAGCAUCACUGCCUGGAAUGGAGAUGGAAGGAGCUAGCGGAGUAUGAACAGGAAGCAAAAAUGGUGGGGGCAGGGCAAGCUCUAUUACAAAUGAGUUGGAGAGGGCAACAGUCAAUGCCUGACAAACGGCCCUGAAUAAAUCAGCAGCAGGGUUAGGAUUUCAUUUUCUAAAAGUUGCUGAACGGAAGGCUGAUUCCUCAUCACUUCAACAAAGCGAAGGGAACAAGUAAGAAUUCAAACAGAUUCAUUGUUGAACUCACUAUCAUUUUUCUAGCAUAACUUGUUUUGCUUUCAGUUAAUGGUUCAUAUUUUGGGGUCAUUCUGAAUCUGGAAGCCAUGCUUGGGG